UCAUAUAGUGGAUGUGAAAGGGGAGCAUUUGGGGAAUUUCAAUUACCAGAAAUAUCAUGCCGAUAAGUAAAGGGAUCUUUAGUUUGUGAAGGGUAGUGUUUGGCUAAAUGGUAUUCAUUUUAUAGCCUUUAUUUGCCCAAUGUUUGGUGACUUACAUUGAGGCAUGUGUUUAUUUAAGAUGCAUGUGAGUGUAGUAGUGCUUCAGUGAUGGUCUUUUCAUGUUCUGUGUGUUUUGCAAUGUAUUAAUUAAUGUAAGCCUCUUUCUGUUCCCUCUGUUAGUAGGUGGUGUGAGGACUGCUGCCCUGAGAACGCUGUGUCAGAGACACUUAGGCUGUGUGCAUUUUGGAAUGUUCCAAAUGUGUGUCACUUCCAUAAGGAAGAAGUUCCAAGCCUGCAAUUUAUCCCCUCCUUUCAUGUGUCUGUUAUGACUUUGUGGGCUCAACUGUCAACAACUGUCCAGGGCGAAGUCGGUCUACCCUGAUGGCACUACCUGAUGGCACUACCCUGAUGAUGUCUGUUAGCCAUGGCUGCUGCCCUCAACAUGGUGAGCCAUCCAGAAGUCCCAGCCUGGAGCCAGAGGCUGCUAUUGCAAGUCAGAUGGGAGAUGGCCUACAGUAUGUUAGGCAUCAGAAAAGUGGUGUUCGCAUGAAGGCAGAGUUGCCGCAGGCAAUUAUGAGAUUAGACACUUGACAUUUACUGCGAAAGGUACCAUCAGAGCACCUCUCCCUACCCUGCAGGAUACCUAUACCAGAAGAGUACAACAACGGCCCAAAAGUAUUUCAAAAGACAUUUCACGCUCUGACCACGGACUGUUUAAACCACUGAGGUCAAGCAGACGUCUCUGUUCCCACGUGGCAGACUGAGGGAACACCCACAAAACAGACUGGGGAUGAGUUUCUUUGCUCCGCAUCCUGUACACACAACUCCUUAUACUACAUUACAUAGACUUGCCAGUUGCCAUACUGCACUUACACACACUGCGCUUUUAACCCCCUUAUCUGUGUCAAAUCAGAUAAGGUUGUGGUUGUGUUCAAACCAUGUCUACUGUUGUCAACAUCCACUUCAGUCAUACAUUUGAAAUGUCUUAAAUAAAUAACAAAAGUUAAAAUUG